rnacentral:rRNA from 1 species
AGAACGAACGCUGGCGGCGUGGAUAAGACAUGCAAGUCGAACGCGACUUAUAGCGAUAGCAAUAUCAUUGUAAGUUGAGUGGCGAAAGGGUGCGUAACACGUGGGAAAUUACCAAGAAGUGGGGGAUAGCUCGGCGAAAGCCGAAUUAAUACCGCAUGUGAUCGAAAGAUCAAAGCCGGGGACCGCAAGGCCUGGCGCUUUUUGAGAUGCCCGCGGCCCAUCAGCUAGUUGGCGAGGUAAAAGCUCACCAAGGCUAUGACGGGUAGCUGGUCUGAGAGGACGACCAGCCACACUGGAACUGAGACACGGUCCAGACACCUACGGGUGGCAGCAGUCGAGAAUUUUUUCACAA